rnacentral:rRNA from 1 species
UACGGGGGGGGCAAGCGUUGUUCGGAAUUACUGGGCGUAAAGGGCUCGUAGGCGGCCAACUAAGUCAGACGUGAAAUCCCUCGGCUUAACCGGGGAACUGCGUCUGAUACUGGAUGGCUUGAGGUUGGGAGAGGGAUGCGGAAUUCCAGGUGUAGCGGUGAAAUGCGUAGAUAUCUGGAGGAACACCGGUGGCGAAUGCGGCAUCCUGGACCAACACUGACGCUGAGGAGCGAAAGCCAGGGGAGCAAACGGG